rnacentral:rRNA from 1 species
AACGCGAAGAACCUUACCUGGGUUGAACUACGCAGGAAAAGCCGUAGAGAUACGGUGUCCGCAAGGGCCUGCGAUAGGUGGUGCAUGGCUGUCGUCAGCUCGUGUCGUGAGAUGUUGGGUUAAGUCCCGCAACGAGCGCAACCCUUGUCCUAUGUUGCCAGCGGGUAAUGCCGGGGACUCGUAGGAGACUGCCGGGGUCAACUCGGAGGAAGGUGGGGAUGACGUCAAGUCAUCAUGCCCCUUACGCCCAGGGCUGCACACAUGCUACAAUGGCCGGUACAAAGGGCUGCUAUCCCGCGAGGGUGAGCGAAUCCCAAAAAGCCGGUCUCAGUUCGGAUUGCAGUCUGCAACUCGACUGCAUGAAGUCGGAGUCGCUAGUAAUCCCGGAUCAGCAACGCCGGGGUGAAUACGUUCCCGGGCCUUGUACACACCGGCUAC